AUAACUACCGAUUCACGACGACAUUCGAUGGACGUAUUUCAUCGAAUGCACUUUUCUAAUUGCAAAUUUGCGAUUUUUGAUUGUUUUCUCGUGCGGUUUUGAGUAUUUAGUGUGUGAAAGUGUGAUAGUGAGUGUAAUAAUAGUGAGUGAGUGUUAGGAAGAUGCCAAACCAUACGUACAGUGCUCGUGAGUACGUAAACAUGGUUUACUGUUACGGGAGGGCACGUGGAAACGCAUCUGAAGUCGCAUCGGUGAGUAGGUACCUAGUUCUAAACUUAAAGGGAUGUGUUUUUUUUAAUGUAGGGAGUAAAUAAUCUGGUAAUUUUGUGUACAAAAUACUCCCGCGAUUGCGGUAGGUAGUGGCGGAAAGCGCGUAGGUACGCUCCAAUACACACACACACACACACACACACACACACACACACA